rnacentral:tRNA from 2 species
GCGGACGUGGUCUAACGGUAUGACGGUUGCCUUCCAAGCAAUCAGCGCGGGUCCGACUCCCGCCGUCCGCACCA